GGGGGGGGGGUCUAUACAUGCAGUCGAACGCACAGCGAAAGGUGCUUGCACCUUUCAAGUGAGUGGCGAACGGGUGAGUAACACGUGGACAACCUGCCUCAAGGCUGGGGAUAACAUUUGGAAACAGAUGCUAAUACCGAAUAAAACUCAGUGUCGCAUGACACAAAGUUAAAAGGCGCUUUGGCGUCACCUAGAGAUGGAUCCGCGGUGCAUUAGUUAGUUGGUGGGGUAAAGGCCUACCAAGACAAUGAUGCAUAGCCGAGUUGAGAGACUGAUCGGCCACAUUGGGACUGAGACACGGCCCAAACUCCUACGGGAGGCUGCAGUAGGGAAUCUUCCACAAUGGGCGAAAGCCUGAUGGAGCAACGCCGCGUGUGUGAUGAAGGCUUUCGGGUCGUAAAGCACUGUUGUAUGG
rnacentral:rRNA from 1 species